GUCUAUGGUGAGCCGUGCGGGAGGGCUCGCGCCCGCCGGCACUCUGCCCGGUCUUCCACCCCGCACGGCUUGCCGCCCCU
rnacentral:antisense_RNA from 1 species